rnacentral:rRNA from 1 species
CACGUAGGGCGCAAGCGUUGUCCGGAAUUAUUGGGCGUAAAGAGCUCGUAGGCGGUCUGUUGCGUCCGCUGUGAAAACUCGGGGCUUAACCCCGAGCCUGCAGUGGAUACGGGCAGACUAGAGGUAGGUAGGGGAGAAUGGAAUUCCCGGUGUAGCGGUGAAAUGCGCAGAUAUCGGGAAGAACACCCGUGGCGAAGGCGGUUCUCUGGGACGGUACUGACGCUGAGACGCGAAAGCCAGGGGAGCGAACGGG